CCGGCAAGAAGUGUGGCGGCCCAGGGUGGUGCCAGGUCUUUUUGGAUCACCGAGCACGGUGCAGUUAACAGAUAUCGCUGUCCAAGGCCCAGGAGAUGAAGGUCCACCCAUGACGCGGCAGCUCGAGAUGAAAGCGAGUCCGGCAAGAAGUGUGGCGGUCCAGGGUAGUUCCAGGUCUUUUUGGAUCACCGAGCACGCCAGAUUGAGUUGCCCAGGAUGGAAGACCAUUGUCAGCAGGGAACCCGUCACAUAUUCCAUAAAUCCCAGCCUGGUGAGACAAGGAGCAUGAGCCCCCUGGGGCCAUUGGGCAUGCAGCCCUUGGGCGUACAGAUGGAAUACCCAUGGAGCCAGGUUGAGUGGCCCGAGAUGGAAGACUGUUGGCAACAGGUUACCUGUUGUGUAUUCCAUGACACCCAGCCUCUCGAGAUGAGUCUCACGAAUCCCCAGAGGCAACUGGACAAGUGGCCCUUGAGUGUACAGAUGGAACAACCAUGGCGCCAGUGGCCUUGAGUGACCUGGGAUGGAAGACUAUUUGCAACAGAGAACCCAUUACAUAUUCCAUGACAACUGUCCUGGCAAGACGAGGCAUGCAAGCCCCCAGGGACUUCUGGGCAGUUGGCCCUUUGAUGUACAGGUGGAUCACCUAUGGCGAGGAAACCAUAAUCUUUACACAAGAGUCAGAACAAGAGUCCUCGCCUAGGUUGGUCUUCUAUCUCAUGUUCUACUGGAGAAAAAGGAUACAGAACUGGAAGUGAUGUUAAAGAGAAGGGAUAUUUUGCUGCUUGAAUUCCACUGCCACCCCAAAUAAGUGCUGUUUUCAUCACUUGUACGAGCUCCUUUCUCUGGGAAAAUUCACAGCAAUGCUUUCUAGAGACUGACAUGUUCCAAAAACUAGGUUUCAUAUGGAUGAGCUUAUUCCUUCCCCUUGAGAUGAGACAUAAAGAAGAGUGUUGGGAAUAAUUCUGCCUCCAUCCUCAAAGGCCUGUGUGAAUUCUCACAGAGAAGAUGACUUCCUGGGAUGAAUGAUACCAGUAAACGCCUGAAGGAAGACUCUUCAGACAGAGCCCUUUUGCCUCCCUCUUGUCUGAGGGCUGCCCUCUGAAGGUGAUGACCACAGAGACAAGGUGGAUUUGUUACUGUAGGUGCCAUUACUUCUGCCACCAGCUUCUCCAAUACAGUGACACAGUCUUCUUUGUGCUUGGAAACUCUUCUCUUUCCUAUGUUGCAGUGGAUACCUCCUGCAGAUAAGAAAUGGUUAACUGAGAAAUGCUCAUGUUGGGAUAUCAUCGAUGAGACUUUAAUUUGGGCAUGGUGACUGUUUCCCUUGCUUCCACUUGACUCAAUCCCAGGAGCCUCAGUAGAGGAAAUUAUAUUGCACAAGAAACUCAAAGUGAUGGAAUUGCUCAGUACUCCCAUAAAUAUACAUUUAUAAUUUUCAUUUGCCAUGUAGUAAAUUUAAAAAAUAAGAUCUAUUAAUUUUUUUUUCAAAAAUUUUCAAAGCAUAUUUAAACAUCUAAUAUAUAAAUUAAGUGCCCUUUUCUCUCCUAAUCCUAUCUCCAAGUUUUCCUCUAUUAAGGGAGUUGUGUGCGUUCUUUAAGCAGAUAGAUGCGCACACACAGACACAAGCUAUUUUAGGGGGUUCUGGAAGUAGAGCUAUAUUGUACACAUUAUUCUGCAAAUUUGCUUUCAUUUAACAGUUUUUUCAAUGCCCUUUUUUUCUGUUUCAGUAAUACAUAUCUGUGUCAUCUGUUGAAUGACUGCAUGAUUGUUUUGUACAUGAAAUAUAAUUAAAUGUUUCAAACAUUUCUUAUUCAUAGAUAUUUAUGUUAGUACCAAAUUUCUGUGCAAUGAACCUCCCUAUAUAUCAAUAAUUUGCAUUUGUAUAUUAUAUCAUAAUAAAUUACUUAACAGUUAAAAUACUGGGAUUAAGUAUAUGCAUAUUUCAAAUUUUGAAAAUGACCACAAGAUUUCCUUAAAUACAUGGUAACAACUUGAUCCUCAAAUGACAAUGGAUGAGAUUGCCAACUUUCCCACAAUCUCACAGAUAAUGAAUUUUAUGAAUAUUUGAAAUCUUUGCCAGUGUGAUAGCCCAAACUAUUGUCUUAAAUUGUACUUCUUUUGUUUUUGAGUUUGAUCAUUUUUUCAUAUGUUUAUUAGCCAUCUGUAUUUUUUGUUUUCUUUUUAUGUCCAAUUUUGGGGCUGUGGGGAGGUUUUAGUCCUUCGCUGAUUUCAAAGAGCUCAUUUCUUAUUGGGGGAAUAAGCUUUGGAUUGUCAUGCAUUGCAGACACUUUUUACACACUUUUAAGCUUCAUUUUUGUUAUAAGAAUGUAUUUGAUUGUUACAUGUCCAGGUAUAACCAUGUUCGCUUCUAUGGCUUCUGAGUUCAUGUCAUUUUGGAAAGAUAUUUAUACUGAUCCCAUAGAACUCUUCACCUAUGUUAACUUCUAAUUCUUUUGUGUUUUUUUAAUUCGAGUUCUUAAAUCACAGAAACUUUUUAUUUGGAAUCUUAGAGUUGCCAAGUUAUCUGCCAUUACCUGCGAUUAUUUGCCAAUAAUUGCCCAUUUGUCUGUACUGCCAUCUUGCACAUGUGCUAUAGUCUCAUCUGUGACGGGCGCCAUUUCUGUUCUGUGGGUCUGUGUGUCUCUUCUUCUGCCUCCUGUCUCGUGUCUUCUCGUUAGAAGAAAUUACAGUUUAGACUGCAAUUUCAUCAACUUUUAAUAAAUUAAUUUAGCGGAGAAUUGGUUUUUAAUAAUAGUCUUCCUAUUCAAGGAUAAGGUAUGUCCUUCUUUUUAUUCAAUAAUUUUAAUUAUUGUUAAUAUUUUCACUUUGUGUCAGGAGUAUCUUCUUUCAGUUUAUUUUCUUACUUGAUAAUUUUUCUGUAUCUGAAAAGUUUUGUGUUGUUUUAGGGGUAAGUGGUCUCCUUCCUCUUUUUCAUGGAGUUUCCUUUUUUUUUUUUUUUUUUCAAAUUACAUACUAAAUCCUUUGAAAAUACUAAUAGUUGUGAUUCUUCUCUCCCAGAUUAUCUGGAUUUUAGUUAUGUUGAUAAAAUUUACUGACUGGUAGUUUCAGAGCACUUCAACAAUUGUGGAAAUAUCACCCACCCUUGAUUUAGUUAGGUUUUAAUGGACCUUUCUUGGUUUUACUAGCAUGUUGUUUCUGGUCUGUUACGCAAAAAGACUCUCAGAGACAGCUAUGAGCAAGCAAAGUUGAGUUUAUUAAAACUACAGCAGAAAGGGAAAACAGCACUUUGACAAGGUUUAGUAGUAUUUCAAAAGCAGGAAAUUAAGAUCGUGAGGGAUGGGAUGAUGGUUUAGGGUAGGAUUUUCAAGGCAGAAAACUUGUCUUGUUGUUUAGUCACUAAGUCACAUCUAACUCUUUUGCAACCCCAUAGCUCCUCUGUUCAUAGGAUUUCCCAGACAAGAAUACUGGAGUGGGUUGCCAUUUCCUUCUCCAGGGGAUAUUCCCGACCCAGGGAUUGAAUCCGCAUCUCCUGCAUUGGCAGGUGGUUUUCUUUACCACUAAGUCACCAGGGAAGCAAGGAACUGGUUAGGAGUGGGCAAAAUUUAUCCUGUGAGAGUUUAAACUUGGUGAAAGAGUAGGAUGAAAACAUUGAUUGAAUUUAUAUAAUCAAAUUUUUGUCUGAUGAAUGAGCUAUUUCCCUAUGUGAAUAGCAUGUUAUCAAUGAUAGAAGAACUGUACGCAUAGAUGAACAAACUGAGUGCAUUUGUUGGUUUACAGUUCUGUCUUGUUUAUAAGACCCUACUGGGGGUGGUAUCAGGUCUUAGUUCCAAUAGGUAAGUUAUUUUGAUGUAAAUGGUCUGUCAUCAAAAUGCUAACUUUAAAUUUGAGAUUCUUAUAUAUUAUAUUAGGUGAACUCUCUUACCUUUUAUGUAUUUCUUAAGGAAUUUUAAUCAAAACCAAGUGGUGGAUGUAACCAAAUGCUUUUUGCAUAAACAAUUAAACUCCUUAAACUUU